GCGCUCGCCACGCCCCUUUCCACGGUCCUCGCGGGAUCUCCUCAGCGACCCCUCAACACAGAAACCCACUGGAGCGCAGCGGGCGGGCGAGGCCCAGCCCGAGGCUGUGUCCUCGCGACGCAGAGGACACCGUAGAAAUUUCUGGCCGUACUGGAGAUUGAAUCCAGGCCCUCGCUCAUCUAGUUUCAGAUGGCCUAUGAAAGAAGACAGGGCAGUGGUACCACUCCAUUCCAUCUUUAUCAGCCAUGCUUUAUUCCCGAACUGAGGAACCUCUCAUUCUGGUGCUAUAAAAAGAAAGACUUACCUCGUUCAUCCAGAAGAACAUUCUCCAUCUGAAAGAUGACAGGUAAGAAGUUACUUUUUUUCUCUUCUUUUUAACUGUCUUUCACUGUGUAUACCCCCCAGCUGAAGAAGGUAUUCUACUCAGCAUUCAAAUCUAUCCUCGGAGGGCCUUUACCUAACCCACAGAGGCCAUAAAAGCAACGGUUUUUAGCUCCCUCCUGCCUUCUUGGACCUGUUGGAACUUCUUAUUGAGGCUCCUCCUCAGACUAAGGGCAAAAGCACUUUACCUUCACAUCUCGAUGGAUGAUGCCCAAGUCAUGGAGAUAGCCUGUGGGUGACAGCAAGCACAGAAAUAUACUGAAGCUUUUCUCUCCAGGUUCCCUGGUAGCUACUAUCCCAUCCUUAACCCUAUUCUUUGAUUUCCAGAGUUACCACCAAUUCUCUUCUAGUCUCUCCACCAACUUUAUUCUUCCCUUCCCAUUUCCUAUACUACCUUUGACUUACACAG